UGGGACUGAGACACGGCCCAGACUCCGACGGGAGGCAGCAGUGGGGAAUUUUCCGCAAUGGGCGAAAGCCUGACGGAGCAAUACCGCGUGAGGGAGGAAGGCUCUUGGGUUGUAAACCUCUUUUCUCAGGGAAGAGAAAAAUGACGGUACUUGAGGAAUAAGCAUCGGCUAACUCCGUGCCAGCAGCCGCGGUAAUACGGAGGAUGCAAGCGUUAUCCGGAAUGAUUGGGCGUAAAGGGUCCGCAGGUGGCUAUGUAAGUCUGCUGUUAAAGAACCUAGCUUAACUAGGUAAAAGCAGUGGAAACUACAAGGCUAGAGUGCUUUCGGGGUAGAGGGAAUUCCUGGUGUAGCGGUGAAAUGCGUAGAUAUCAGGAAGAACAGCAGUGGCGAAGGCGCUCUACUAGGCCGCAACUGACACUGAGGGACGAAAGCUAGGGGAGCGAAUGGGAUUAGAUACCCCAGUAGUCCUAGCCGUAAACGAUGGAUACUAGGCGUGGCUUGUAUCGACCCAAGCCGUGCCGGAGCUAACGCGUUAAGUAUCCCGCCUGGGGAGUACGCACGCAAGUGUGAAACUCAAAGGAAUUGACGGGGGCCCGCACAAGCGGUGGAGUAUGUGGUUUAAUUCGAUGCAACGCGAAGAACCUUACCAAGACUUGACAUGUCGCGAAUCUCUCUGAAAGGAGAGAGUGCCUUCGGGAGCGCGAACACAGGUGGUGCAUGGCUGUCGUCAGCUCGUGUCGUGAGAUGUUGGGUUAAGUCCCGCAACGAGCCAACCCUCGUUUUUAGUUGCCAGCAUUAAGUUGGGCACUCUAGAGAGACUGCCGGUGACAAACCGGAGGAAGGUGGGGAUGACGUCAAGUCAGCAUGCCCCUUACGUCUUGGGCUACACACGUACUACAAUGCUACGGACAAAGGGCAGCUACACAGCAAUGUGAUGCAAAUCUCACAAAACCGUAGCUCAGUUCAGAUCGCAGGCUGCAACUCGCCUGCGUGAAGUCGGAAUCGCUAGUAAUUGCAGGUCAGCAUACUGCAGUGAAUUCGUUCCCGGGCCUUGUACACACCGCCCGUCACACCAUGGAAGCUGGUCACGCCCGAAGUCGUUACCCCAACUGUUCGCAGAGGGGGAUGCCGAAGGCAGGACUGGUGACUGGGGUGAAGUCGUAACAAGGUAGCCGUACCGGAAGGUGUGGCUG
rnacentral:rRNA from 1 species